rnacentral:tRNA from 2 species
CGGGGUGUGGCGCAGCCUGGUAGCCCGCAUCGUUCGGGACGAUGAGGCCGGAGGCUCGAAUCCUCUCAUCUCGA